rnacentral:misc_RNA from 1 species
GAUGAAGAACGUAGCGAAAUGCGAUAAGUAAUGUGAAUUGCAGAGUUCAGUGAAUCAUCGAAUCUUUGAACGCACAUUGCGCCCGCUGGUAUUCCGGCGGGCAUGCCUGUUCGAGCGUCAUUUCAACCCUCAAGCCCCCGGGUUUGGUGUUGGGGAUCGGCUCUGCCCUUCUGGGCGGUGCCGCCCCCGAAAUACAUUGGCGGUCUCGCUGCAGCCUCCAUUGCGUAGUAGCUAACACCUCGCAACUGGAACGCGGCGCGGCCAUGCCGUAAAACCCCAACUUCUGAAUGUUGACCUCGGAUCAGGUAGGAAUACCCGAUGAACUUAAGCAUAUCAAUAAGCGGAGGA